CAUCCUUAAAACGAUCUCAGUCAAGUUGGGAAAACCGGCAAACGACCAACCGAGACAUUGAAGUACUUCAAAAACAACUUCUACGAGAAUUUCUCCACCCCGGCCGCUUCCCUGCGGGCCGCGAGGUUUUCCCGGCUCCGGGAGGGCCAUGAGCCCCGCUUAUGCCCCGGUGGAAGCGGCCGCACAAUGACAGUGACCCGUGGGUCUCUCGCGGCCUGCGUCUGGGACAGCUGGCUCGGCGCCCUGAAGGGGGGCUUCAACAGUAGCAGCCCCUCCCCCGGGCCCUUCCGGGAGCCCCCGACAGGCCGGAAAGGAACCCGACCCGGCUCCGGAGGAAAAGCCGAAGAAAUGGAUCAUUGGAUGCUGCUAAGCAGCCAGCGGGCCAGGACUCCUACGUUACGAUCUGGGCCUGUCCUUUUUGGCAGAAUGGAGCCUUAUUUUCCUCAUCUGUAAAAUGGAGAUAUUAGUUCCCAUCUCGGAGAGUGAUGGUCCAGCUGGCAUGAGAAUUUCAUGAGAUGGCUGAAUGUUAAUCAUCUUCACAAACAGAAGCUGUCAGGGUGGAAAGAGCAAGGUGGGAGGUAGGUACACACAAGUUUCGGCAAGAUGCGGAGGCAGCCUUUGUUCCCACACGGGUACUCACAAAGGCUGCAGUGCAUGCAGCUUUAUAAGAGGGGUUUGAGCAUUUUUUGCCUUACUUGAGUAUGUGGUUAGCAAUCAGGAGAGGAAGGGGAGAUGGGAGAGAACACACAGGGCAGUGCUGGGAGCCCUGAUGCUUAGAUGCACCAGGCAAAUUCCCUCUACCUGCCCCUUCAAGAACUCAGUGUCAAGGUGCCUGGGUGGCUCAGUGGGUUAAGCGUCUG